rnacentral:rRNA from 1 species
CCUACGGGUGGCAGCAGUGGGGAAUAUUCCGCAAUGGGCGAAAGCCUGACGGAGCAACGCCGCGUGAGUGAUGAAGGAUUUCGGUUCGUAAAGCUCUGUUGCAGGGGAAAAAGCAAGUGAUUGUACCCUGCGAGGAAGGGACGGCCAACUUCGUGCCAGCAGCCGCGGUAAUAAGAAGGUCACUAGCGUGGUUCGGAAUCAUUGGGCGUAAAGCGCAGGUAGGUUGCCAUGUAAGUUAGGUGUGAAAUCCCCGGGCUCAACCCGGGACGUGCACUUAAAACUGCGUGGCUUGAAUACGGGAGAGGUGAGUGGAAUUCCUGGUGUAGUGGUGAAAUACGUAGAUAUCAGGAGGAACAUCGGCGGCGAAGGCGGCUCACUGGCCCAGUAUUGACACUGAGCUGCGAAAGUGUGGGGAUCAAACAGGAUUAGAUACCCGUGUAGUC